rnacentral:lncRNA from 1 species
AUUCCCAGGGAUCACGUUGGGACUACAGGACAGGAAAACCAGCAGGCAGAGGUAUACAGAGCUGAGACCAUUUGCCCUGGUUGUCAGUUCUGAUCUAGGGGACCUGGCUUUUUUGGUUUGUUUGUUUGUUUGUUUGUUUUGUUGUUGUUUUCUUCAUUUUUCUUUGGCUUUUAAAGCACGUCUACUCAGUAUUGGUGACCAAAAAGGAGCCCGAUGUGAGCGUUCUGAAGGGAAGCUUCAUCACUAAUGCACUCAAAGCGGCAAAGCCACCUCAAGAAACGCAGACAAAACACUGGACCUUUGUCUCCUACAACUGUUGGUCUGUACAAAUGCUCCCUAGAGCUCAGGGGAUUUCACAGACCUCCUAGAUGCCAGGUUGAAGGCUGACAGUGCCCAUCCCCCAUCGCUGCAGUUAUGUAAGCCUGCUUCCGGUAAAAGGCCCUGGCGAAAAUCACACGCAGUUAGUGGCAUCGCCAAGGGAACAUUGCCCAUCAUGUCUCUUUGGGCCUCCUGAUGCUCCACUCGAUGUGAGAAUAUGAGGAUCAAUCAAGAGAAGAGACUAACCUCGAGACAGAGCACUAAAUCGAGCAGAAAACAGGAAGGCCUGUGUUGGGCCUCCAUUUGCGUAAACCUACAGACGCCAUCAACUCCUCCAACGGCCAAGGCCGUUUCUGACCACAAGGGGGCGCCCGCAUCAUGCUUUAAUAUAGCACAUGGCACAUAUGUGUGCACAUGCAUCUGGAAGCCAGAACUCAAUGGGCUCCUUCAUUGCUCUCCUCUGAGUAUUUUUAAAACAAACUCUGUCACGGAACCAGUGUAAAACUGCCUUGUCCACAAGCCCCUGGAAUCCACGCGUCUCUGCUUCCCCAGCCCUAGAAUCACAGAGAACACCACUGCAGCCAGCUGGUUAGAGGUAUAGACUGUUGCUAUCUAGAAUCAGAAGCUGUGGCAUACUGCAACUGUUUCCAUAGUUCCUGGAGGCUACUUUGUAUCCAUCUUGUUCAUCAAACCCUCAGCUCCUGCUUCACCGUAAGCUGCAUACUCAGUGGAAUUCAAGACCCAGGAUCAGAUGUAAAGAAUUAGCAGGGACCAUUCAGCCAGCCCCAUAUUGAGAAAUCAACUCUCUACAGGGAAUGUCAGGUAGGCCAGGAACUGUACCUGAGUGUGGGAGUGUGAGGUGAUGCAGGGAUGAUCCUCUAGAACCAAGCUUUCAAACCACAGUACCCAGGCCUUAGCUCUUCCAUGAUCUCAUGCAGGCACAAAAGCCCACCCACUCGCAAGAAGUUCAAUAGAAAAGAACAGAAGAAAAAAAUCUACAUUUUGCACUCUACGAGAUAACUGGUACACAAUCAUCAUUACACUGUCAGAUGUUUCUGACAUUUUAAGUCAGAGUCAAAGCUAGCUACUUCCUUGGAAACUAAAUAAAAUGUCAAUAAAUUC